AUUGAACGCUGGCGGCAGGCCUAACACAUGCAAGUCGAGCGGGGUUUACGGACCUAGCGGCGGACGGGUGAGUAAUGCGUAGGAAGCUGCCCGAUAGAGGGGGAUACCAGUUGGAAACGACUGUUAAUACCGCAUAAUGUCUACGGACCAAAGUGUGGGACCUUCGGGCCACAUGCUAUCGGAUGCGCCUACGUGGGAUUAGCUAGUUGGUGAGGUAAUGGCUCACCAAGGCGACGAUCUCUAGCUGGUUUGAGAGGAUGAUCAGCCACACUGGAACUGAGACACGGUCCAGACUCCUACGGGAGGCAGCAGUGGGGAAUAUUGGACAAUGGGCGCAAGCCCGAUCCAGCCAUGCCGCGUGUGUGAAAAAGGCCUUCGGGUUGUAAAGCACUUUCAGCGAGGAGGAAGGGUGGUGUGUUAAUAGUACAUCAUUUUGACGUUACUCGCAGAAGAAGCACCGGCUAACUCUGUGCCAGCCGCCGCCGUAAGAC
rnacentral:rRNA from 1 species